GCAUCGUUUCAAUCUCACAAAAAUUGCAACUCCAAGUGUAGGUAGUAUACGCAAUACGAUCCCACAAUUCUCUUCAUUUUCUCACCGUCUCCUUCUUCUGCAUAGUUCUCUCUUCUUUGCUUCAAUUUCUAGGGUUUACAACAACAUCAAUUCAUGGAGGAGGAACCAGUGGUAUCGGAAACAGCGAAUCGUCGUACGAAACGAACGAGAGCUCAAACUAGGAUUAACGAAGAGCAAUUACACAGCAGUGUGAAUGAGGAAGAGAGGGAAGAAUCGUCUGAGGACUUUGAAGACUUUCGUGCUAGACCUAAGCGGAGUAAGGCUUUAGGAGGCACUUCAUCUGCUGCUGCUGCUAGAAAUGCUCAUCAGAGUUUAAUUGAUGUUGUUAAAGGUGAUAGGAGACGAAUUCCUCUAGUGGUCAAGCAUUGGGUGGAACAUUAUGAAAAGGAUCCGAAAGCUGCAAUGGCUGGACUAUUGAGCAUGAUGUUUGAGGCAUGUGGAGCAAAAUAUCAUAUUGAAGAAGAUUUCUUGGACCAAACUGAUGUUGAUGAUGUUGUAGUUGCUCUUGUAAACAUGGCUAAGAGGGGUGAAGUUGAGGAUUAUCAAACUUCAAAGAAGAAGGACUUCAAGAACUUCAAAGAUAAUCUCGUCUACUUCUGGGAUACCCUGGUUGCUGAAUGUGAAAAUGGACCACUUUUUGAUAGGGUCUUGUUUGACAAGUGCAUGGAUUAUGUGAUUGCGCUAUCAUGCACUCCUCCUAGAGUAUAUCGUCAGGUUGCUUCAUUAAUGGGGCUUCAACUUGUUACAUCCUUUAUACACAUUGCCAAAGUACUUGGUUCACAGCGGGAAACCACACAGAGACAGCUAAAUGCUGAACAGAAGAAGAAAGUGGAUGGGCCUCGAGUUGAAUCACUAAAUAAAAGAUUAUCCAUGACCCAUGAAAAGAUAACAAUAAUAGAGGAGAUGAUGCGGAAGAUAUUUACUGGGCUAUUUAUGCACCGUUAUCGAGAUGUCGAACCUGAUAUCAGAAUGGCAUGCAUACAGUCAUUGGGUGUCUGGAUCCUGUCAUACCCCUCUCUGUUUUUGCAGGAUUUGUAUUUGAAAUAUCUCGGAUGGACAUUGAAUGAUAAAAGUGAUGGUGUAAGGAAGGCAUCAGUUCUUGCACUGCAGAAUCUUUAUGAGGUGGAUGAUAAUGUACCAUCUCUUGGCCUUUUCACGGAGAGAUUUUAUAAAAGGAUGAUCGAGCUUGCUGAUGAUGUUGAUAUUUCUGUGGCAGUAUGUGCUAUAGGACUUGUGAAACAACUGAUAAGACAUCAACGUGUUCCUGAGGAGGAAUUAAGUUCUUUAUAUGAUUUGCUAAUUGAUGAUCCACCUGAAAUCAGGCGUGCCAUUGGAGCUCUAGUGUAUGAUAAUCUGAUUGCCCAGCGAUUGAACAGUUCACAAUCUAGUUCAGGGGAUAAUGCUGAUUCUUCUGAGGUUCAUCUUAACAGACUGUUGCGCAUAUUGGGAGAGUUUUCAAAAGACGAAAUGCUGAGUAUGUAUGUCAUUGAUGAUAUCUGGGAGUAUAUGGACGCCAUGAAAGAUUGGAAACGUAUCCUGUCUAUGCUCUUGGAAGAAGAGCUAUCAGCUGAACUGAGUGAUGCAGACGCAACAAACCUAAUUCGUCUGCUUUUUGCGUCCAUUAGGAAGGCAGUUGGAGAGAAGAUUGUUCCUGCCAGUGAUAAUAAAAAACAAUAUUAUACUAAAGCACAAAAGGACAUGUUUGAAAGUUCUAAGCGUGAUAUAACCAUUGCUAUGAUGAGGAAUUAUCCGCAGCUUCUUCGCAAAUUUAUAUCUGACAAAGCAAAAAUUCCCUAUCUACUUGAAAUCAUUGUUCAUAUGAACCUUGAGCUCUAUUCUCUUAAACGACAAGAUCAGAAUUUUAAAUCUGCGGUACUUCUGAUGAAAGAAGCAUUUUUCAAGCAUGGUGAGAAGGAAGCUCUGAGAUCUUGUGUAAAAGCUCUGAACUUCUGUGCUACUGAGAGUCGUGGGGAGUUACAGGACUUCGCCCUUAACAAAUUGAAGGGGAUUGAAGAUGAGCUCAUUAUGAAACUUAAAUCUGCAAUAAAAGAAGUUGCUGAUGGUGAUGAUGAAUAUACAAUGCUUGUUAACUUGAAAAGGUUGUAUGAACUUCAAUUGUCAAGGCAAAUUUCCACUGAAAGCUUGUAUAAAGAUCUUGCAGAGACUCUGAAGAACUUCAGAAGUAUUGAUGACGAGGUAAUUGGAUUUCUGCUUCUUAACAUGCAUCUGCAUGUUUGCUGGUGCCUACACUCUAUCAUCAACUCUGGCACAGUCCUGGAACAAUCUAUAUCUUCCUUAAUUUCAAAACGCAGUGCCUUGUUUGAACUACUUGAGUCCUUCCUGACUACUAAUUCUCCGGAAGGUCUUCGUGCAAGUCAACUUGCAUGUAGGGUUUGUGUUAUUUUUUCAGAACAGUGGUGUCUGUUCAAGAAAGCAACCUUUGCAUCCACGGAAAUAGAAGCUUUAGGGUACUCUCCAGAUGAAGCCAUUCUUCAAAAGUUCUGGAAGCUUUGUGAACGCCAACUACAUAUUUCAGAUGAGGCUGAAGAAGAAGAUUCUAAUAGGGAAUACAUUGAGGAGACAAAUCGAGAUGCUGUAAUCAUUGCUGUUGGCAAGUUGGUUGCUGUUGAUGCAGUUCCUAAGGAAUAUCUUGCUCCAGAGAUACUAUCUCAUCUUUCAAUGCAUGGGACAAGUGUAUCUGCGGUUAUUAAGCAUUUGCUAACCGUGUUAAGGAAUAAUGGUGCAGAUGUUGCAUGGUUGUUCAUAGAGGCACUAAAAAGGGUGAGCAUCACUACUUGUUAACUGAGAUGAUUCCUGCUCUAUUUUUGUCACUUGGCAGGUUGGCCUUCCAGUUUCUGGUGAGCUUUUUGAUGAAAUUGCAGAAGAGAAGUCUUACUUCAAAAUUUGAUAAUGAUAUGGUUAAAAUGUUUGGUUGACUGAGUGUAUAAAAAAGGGGAGCCCGGUGCAUGAAGCAUCCCCAUUCACACUGGGUCAGGGGAAGAGCCACACUCAGGUGUGUGUGUGUGUGUAUGUAUGUAAGCAGCCUACCCUGACUCAAGCAUCAGUGACUGGUUCCGCUGCUUGAACCCGUGACGUAUAGGCCCAUGAACGGUACUUAGUAGCACUUUUCUCUGAUGAUGACGAAUCAGCGAGAAAGACUUUUCAUGAAUGUGAAGAUCUCGCCAGUGGGCUUGCCAAGACAUUUGGAAAUGCUGCUAGAAACAAGCACCGGUCAGAUCUUCUAAAUAUUGUCACAGGAGGCAUUCAAUAUGCCUUUACUGAUGCUCCAAAGCAUUUAUCUUUCUUGGAUGGUGCUGUGCUGCAUUUCAUAUCUAAACUUCCUCCUUCAGAUAUUAUGAACAUCUUGAAAGACGUCGAGAAAAGAACUGAAAAUGUUAACACGGAUGAAGAUCCAAGCGGUUGGCGACCCUACCAUAUAUUUGUAGAUACAGUCCAUGAGAAGUAUGCUAAGGGUGAUGUUUUACAAGAUGAUAAGGAAGGAGCUGGGAGACGUCGAGGUCGUCCUACCAAGAAGCAGAACAUACAAGGAAAGAAACUUUUUGACGAGCACAAUUCUAGUGAAGACGAGGAAUCAAUCAGUGGAUCUGACCAAGAGGCAGAUGAAGAAAAACAAGAUGAUGAAGAGGUUCCUCUAAUACAUUCUUUCAAGUCAUCAUCCAAGCUAAGGUCUCUGAAGAUAUCAAGAGAGAGCUGAAGCUAUGUGAGAACUGGUCAUUUUGGUCUCUGUUUAGAGUUUUCCUGUUCCAAAGCAUCAGGUUCUCAAGUCUUAAAAAUCUGCUCUCUAUAUCACGAGCAAACAGGUUCCUCAAGAACCAUAGUUUGAGAGGAAAACUUUGUUGAAGUAGACCUUAGGUGCAGCCUUGUGUAUUUAAAAUAGGUCUCGUCUCCAGUCUUUUUUUUUUUCCUUUCCAAACUAGCUGUAUUUGUGAUUUCUUUUUGGCAGCUUCAACCCAUUUAUGGAUUUGGUAAGCUAUUACUUGUCGUGAUUAUCUUGUGAUUGUGUAACCUUUGGGCUCCUAAUGGCUAGUAAGUUCUGAAUUGCCAAAAUGGAAGUACUAGGAAGAGAUAUACUGAAGAUGGAGACAAAAUUCAAGUAGGAGAAAUGCAAAACAUUCAAUUACAACUAUUGACUAGCUGCUAUUGAUAUUUACAUAUUAGUUGUAAUCACAGCUGUAAUUUGAAGGGGAAGGCAUUUGCUUGUGCGUAAGCCCCUUUAGAGGUGGGGGCGAGCCAGGGUGAAGGCUAUAGUAAAUUUGUUGCGACUGAA